rnacentral:lncRNA from 1 species
UGGCUAGGAACGUUUUAGGAAUGAACAUAAGAGAAAGGUCUCGAUAAUCUAACUCAUUAGAUCACUUAUCUCUUAGAACAAAUACAUUCCUUGGAUUCCCUUAUUGCUUAAACACGUGAUACAAUAAAUAGUGAUUAACAAUAAGAUUUGCCCUUCAUUAAACAUAUAAAAGUUUAAUACAAUAAGUAUUCCAAAAAGCUAUUACAUCAAAUGAGUGGCUUUGUGGGCAUACUUCCAACAGUGGAUAACCUAUUCAGUUUAGGAUUACAAAUACAAUACGGUCUUUCUCUAAUACAAUACUCUUGACCACAUUGUUUGGUUUGAUAGUUUAUUCAUGUCUACUAUCCAAUGUGAUUCGUGCGCUUAUAUGAUUACCUUGAAUGUGAUUUGGAACGACUUCCUAAAUCUCCUUCAUACUCUGGCCAGAGAUUCUUAAUCAUAUCAUAGAGUAUUCUCCCUCAAACAGUUUGAAGGUUAGAGAUCCCUUGUUGCGCAUUCACUUACCUCCAUGGCUAAGUGGCUUAACCCUAACUAUGCCGUGGACACCCUCCUUUUGGAGUGACUUUUGACAUAAUCAAAGAUCAAGGACUUAACCACAAGACAACUAUGAUGCCUCAGGUCAAAGGACUACUUUGCAUUAUCCCAACCAUGAGUUCUCAUGUGACAUGAAUAUGAGAACUCUUCGUUGAUCGUGUUCAGUGAACUCAUUCUCUAUUGAGCACCUACGUACUUGUCUUGAUGUCACACACACCAAUGACUCGAGACUAGUCACUCUCCCUGAGAGAAGACACAGCACGUACUGAUCUUAACGGACUGUCAAUGCCCAAUUGGCAAUCCUAUGAUCAGGAACGUUUAGGAUAUGUAUACGAAAGAAUGGUUUCAUGAAUCUAACUUCUUUAGAUUGCAUUCUCCCAAUCACAUAUUCCUUGGACUUAUCGUUUAAGCAUAUAACAUUUAUAUGAGAUGACUUAAAACAAUAAUCUUUGCCCUUUAUAUUUAAACUACAUUAGUUUAACUUGUGAAAUGUCCGUAAAGUAUCAUUAUAUGAUUGGUUUUAGGGCACAUUUCCAACACCGUACGCUUUAAACGUCACUAUUAGGGGUUAGCCGUGUUAAAGGAUGCCACGUGUUGGAUUGGUCAGCUGGAUCGAGAUCGUGUAAAUCGUGCUCCAUAAAUGCGCCUUGGAAAUAGAGUAUUCCAAUUCUUAGGUUUAGUUUCACUUCUUUAAGGUUGGAGCUCGACCAGAGAAUUCAGGCCGAAGACCUCAGAAGUGAGGGGGCAAUGUUUGGGCCCAAAAUAUUAGUUUGGGCCGAGUAUAAAAUCAUUCUCGGCUCGUAAGGCCUUACGACAAGGUUAUCAUGGAUCGUUUAGUUCGUGGCCUUCCAAACCUAGGUCGGUUAUGCUGCAAGACGAGUAAUUGAAUCCUGGCGUAAUAAAGAGUCUCGGCGAGAUAUGGAUAUGAAUAACCCGGAAGUGAAUCCUGCCUGAUAAAGGAUUGGGUUCAAAAUCAUAGUGAAAAUAGGAUUGGUCGAGAUGGUGUUUGAUUAAGAGAAGAAGUCCUAAUCUGAGUAGGGUUUUAACUCGACCUAGAAGGUAUCUGGUGCUAUAAAUAAAGGAGGCUGUGCAUCGUUCAAGGUCUCCAAUUCAACACACAACUGCCCUGCGCAAACUCUCUCAACAACUUUGAGAUUUUUAUUUUCUCUUUUCGCUGACAUAUCUUCCGUUGGCAUCAACAGCACUGUGAAAACAACCGGUGAUAUCUUCAGUCGACAUAAAUAGCUUUGUUGCCGUAGAAUCAACCGAUCUCGCAGCAUUUUCCGUUGGCAUCAACAACAUUACGGUGAGGGUGGUUAGUUACCUAUCCAAGUCUCUGUCGAGAAGGACUUCUGAAUCCUUAUUGAUUGAGGUCAUCUCCUUGGCCUUCUGGGCGAAGUGAGGUGUUACAGCUUACUGAACUCGACGCAUUGCACGCCGAGUUAUUUUAUGAUUAGAUACUCUCAAGUGGGAUUUAGAGUUCGGCAUUCCGACGGCCGAACCACGUUCACUAUUAAGACUUAUAUCCGAUUUGAGUAUUUGUGCCCUUACACUUUGGUGUCGAUUCGACGUGAGUUUACUUUGAUGAAUACCAUCACUGUGACCAAAUCCAACGACGACGAUUCGUGAACUUCAUAAGAUUAGUAGCCUUGUCUUCAAGUUCAAGAACCCAAGAGGCCGAGAUGUGUUCCUUCCUCAGUCGCAAUCGCAAGACGCAGAAGUCCGCCGCGCACCUAACACAACAUCAACAAAUUUUACUCAUUGGCCGAGCUCGGCCAACGAGUUAGCACACCCCACAUUCAACCGAAUAACGUAGUUAGCUUAUAGAUUACUCGGCCUGCGCGCCACGUAUGCUUGGUAGUUUUUAGGGUUAACAUAAAGUUAUAAUCUAUUCUGAUCAUGCAUCAUUGAAGUACUUACUAACGAAGAAGAAGGCCAAACCAAGGCUCAAGAGAUGGAUGCUUCUUCUCCAAGAGUUCAAUAUCGAAAUCCGGGACAAGAAAGGAAGUGAAAACGUGGUGGCUGACCACUUGAGACGUAUGGUGCAUGAAGAGGAUGCCAAUGCUGUGCCUAUCCCAAAGACAUUCCCAGACGAGCAGCUGCUGUCCAUUGAGGUAAAUGUGCCAUGGUAUGUCGAUUUAGUGAAUUAUUUGGUGUCAAAACAAGUUCCAAGCACUUUAAACAAACACCAACGUGAUAAACUUAAGAAAGAGGCACGUUUUUAUGUGUAGGAUGACCCUUACUUGGAAAUAUUGCGCUAAUCAAAUCAUUCGUAGGUGUGCGCAUAAUUCUGAGUUUAAUUCGAUUUUAACCUUUUGCCACACUUAUGCAUGUGGAGGUCACUUUGGCACUCAAAGAACUGCACGUAAAGUCCUUGAAUGUGGUUUUUAUUGGCCUACAAUCUUUAAGGAUGCUAAAACUUUUUGCUUAACAUGUGAUCGUUGUCAAAGAACCGAAAACAUUGGUUCAAAAGAUCAAAUGUCGCAGGCCCCUAUAUUUUGUGUCGAAAUUAUUGAUGUUUGGGGCAUUGAUUUUAUCGGUCCUUUCAUUUCAUCUCAUAGUUUUGUUUAUAUUUUACUUUAGGUUAAUUAUGUUUCGAAAUGGGUGGAAGCAAAAGUCACCCGUACUAAUGAUUCCAAAGUGGUUGCAGAUUUUGUGAAAACUAACACAUUUGCUAGAUUUGGAAUGCCAAAAGUUCUUAUAAGUGAUGGGGGCUCUCAUUUUUGCAGUUGAACCAUUGAGGCACUGCUCAAGAAGUAUAAUGUCACGCAUAAGGUGGCAGCACCUUAUCAUCCUCAAACAAGUGGGCAAGCCGAGGUUUUUAAUCGGAAGAUUAAGCAGAUUAUGGAAAAGACCGUUGGGCUAAACCGGAAAGAUUGGAACUUAUGCUGGAAUGAUGCAUUGUGGGAAUAUUAUACAGCUUACAAAACACCACUUGGAAUGUCCCCAUUUCGGCUCAUCUAUGGGAAACCAUGCCAUCUUCCAGUUGAAUUGGAGCACAAAGCACAUUGGGCCGUCAAAACUUUCAAUUUGGACCUUGAUGAGGCUGGAACUCAUAGGAAGCUUCAAUUGAAUGAACUUGAAGAGAUUCGGUAUGAGGCGUACGCGAACGCCCUUAUUUACAAAGAGAAGACAAAAGCAUUCCAUGACAAGAUGAUUCGUACCAAAACAUUCUCCAUAGGGCAGAAAGUGUCACUCUUUAAUUCCCGCCUUCGAUUGUUUUCAGGUAAGUUACGUUCUAAGUGGAUUGGACCUUUUGUUGUUACUAAUGUCUUUCCUCAUGGUGCAGUCCAAAUUCAAAGUUUUAAGACCGGAAACGAAUUCAAAGUGAAUGGACAUCGUUUGAAGCCAUACUAUGAGCACUUUAAGGAGCAUGCCAUGGAGGAUAUACCCCUUCAUGAUGUGGGCUCCAAUGAAGCUUAAACGGAGGAAUUAUCCUGCUGGAAGACGUUAAAGCAAGCGCUUCUUGGGAGGCAACCCAUGUGAAUAAAUAAGAACUAGGAAGCUUCGACAUCAUAACUAGAUUUGCGUUCUUAAACUCUACUCCUUAUUGCUUUUACUUUGCCAUGCUUGUCAUGUUUGUUAGUUGUGUUGUUUGCUUGCUUAUGUGUGAGUCUAUGUUUGAAACAUUGAGGACAAUGUUUGGUUAAAGUGUGGGAGGGGGGGUAAACAAAGUGUUUUUAUUGCAAAUUCGUGAGAUUUUACCACCUAGCAUAACUAGAGUUGUUUUUCAUUGUUUUUAAGUGUUUUUAGUGUGUUUUGAAGUGUUUUAGUGUGUUUUUAACAGAAAAUACGAAAAUUUGCAAAAAAAAAAUAGAAAAUGUUUUGAAAAACCCAAAAAGAGUCGUUUUUGUGUGUUUGUGUCUUAGGGUACCUUCCAACACAAUGAUGAGGAUUUGGUUUUUAAUUGCAUGACUGUUAAAGAAAGUUACAAACAUGGAUAGAAGUUUGAUAUGCUCUUUGGUUAAUGCUUGGUUAUAGUUGUCAUUAACGAAUUCACAUGUAAUCACAAAGGAAAAAAAUCAGUUUUUGUAACAUGCUUGAAGGAAGGAACUUAAACUAAUGCUACAACCUUGAGAAGACUUGAGCCUAAACAUUAUUUGGAGAGUUAUUAAUCUGUGAUUUCUUGUUUUCUAAAGUCGUUGCAUGGUCUCAUCAUUCUUUGCUUGGUUGCUACUUGGAAUGCGUUUUAUCAUUUUAGUUCCAAAUAUUAGAACUCAUGCCCAUUUUAUUCAAAGCUUAAAAUUGAGUGCAUAACAUAUAACAAUAUGGAGUUGUUUAGUAGUUACCACCAGAGCCAAAAAGCCUUCAUCCCAUGCAUUUGUUUUGUAGGUUUAACCCCUUUGAGCCUUAUUUAGCCUAUUUUAUUUGUUAGCCACAUUAUCCCUACCUAGCCUAGAAUAGGGCAAUCCAUACCCUUGUUCUUGAAGUAUAGUGGAGCAUGACUUAGAGGGAAUUCAUUUUGAUCAACAUUAUUGCAGAAAACAAGUGUGGGGGAAGGGUUUUCAAAAGUUUGUGUUUUGUGUGCCAAGGAAAUAGGGCACGAGUUCGAAGAAAGAAAGAAAAAAAAAUAGAAAAAAAACGUGAAAAGAAGAAAAAGAAAGAAAGAAAAGAGUUCUAAAAUAAGUGAGAAUGAGCUCACAAGUAUUGGUUGUUGAAGAAAGGGUCCAAAAAGUUUGAAAGUUGUACAAAAUCCCCUUAGUGUUUCAAGUUAUUUGCUGCAUUCAAGAGUGAAUUCUAAGUUGAUUUCAUUACUUUGCUUACUAUUGCUUUAAGAACCUUUGUUUAUCCUUACCUUUCUUUGUUAGCCAAUACCCUUAGCCCCGUUACAACCCUUAGACUUUAAUCUUGGUUGUUGUGUGUUUCAAUAUGUGGAGUUUGGGAUUGGUAUGAGCAUAUGGUAUCCCUGGUUCUCGCGUCUAAGUAGUGGCAUUCCGUUCAUGAGAUCAUAUAUAUACAUAUAUUAAUAAUUUCAGAAAGUGCCUUCUUUGAUUAUAACAUAUGUGAGUGAUAGUCUACAUGUUUACAUCAAUCUUCUCACAUAUACCUAGUAUAGGGAGUGUAGUCAGAAAAUCUGUGUGAAAAUAGAGAGUAUAUCCAGUAAGGAAUUGAGGGAAUUCUCUCAGGCAUGUUACUACAUUUAAAAUGUUGUUUUAAUUGAUUAAAUGCGAGCUAGUGAGUGGUGACUAUGAUUAAGUAUGUGCUCGAGAGUAAGGAUUGCUAAAAUCUAUGUGAGUAGUGAUUUUUAAUGUGUCAUGUUCCAUUGGAAAUCCCUAAGACAAAGUUGGAAGGUUUAGGUUAUGUUUUGUUUUAUUUUGUUGUUUCGUUUUGCUCGAGGACUAGCAAAAGCUAAGUGUGGGAGAAUUUGAUAGGAGCAUAUUUAUACAACUUAGUUAGCUUGUUUUCUUGCAUUUUUCGUAGUUAGUUUGUGUUUAUUAUAGUGAUUUAAGCUAUUUUCGUGUGUUUGUAGGUCCAAUUGACAAAGUUGGCAAGAAAGUGUGAUUUGGAGCAUUUUGAGGCAGUUUUGGGCAUCAAAUGGAUAGCUUAUGAAUGGAGCAAGAUGGAUGGACGAAUUUGAAGUUCAAGAGGCUGGGAAUGUGAUGAAAAGAUGAAGAAAAUAAAUCCAAGACAAAGAAGAUAAGGAAUCAGCUCAAAAGAAGGAACAUUAUCCAAAACCUUAUCCAACCUUAUCUUAUCCAAACUAACCUUAUCUUAUCUUAUCCUUGCCUAAUCUAGCUUUAUCCUAUCUUAUCUAAUCCAAAUCAGUUUGAGACUUAAAACCAGCUGCAAAGGGACCUAAAAACCUGAUUUCUAGAAGGCCUAUCAUUUCCCUACGUUCAUGCCGCACCCUUAUCCUUCUAGAACCCUAAAUUGGUGUUGUGACUACCCUUUCUAGAAAACCCUAAAUAUUUGGCGCCUCUUCCUCUUCUAGAAGCCUUAGAAUCUGCUGAAAACCUUAAUCCUUUUCAUCUUUGGUUUUUGCCAAACCCUAGUCCUUUUCCUUAAGGAUUGUGCAAUCCAAAUCCUUAGGGAUUGUGCCGUGCCUUUUAGCCUAUAAAUACACAUCUCUGCCGCAUAAAUCAAACCACCCACGCACCCACAUACAUUUAGAUAUAAUUGAGAGAUUUUGGAGAGUUUUAAAGGUGCACUUGCGUGGAGGAAGGAGAAGGAGAAGCUUGUGACGUGGCUUGCAAUCCAAGGGAUAUUUCGAAAUCUGCCAUUGGAGUUGCUGGGACGUUCUUGGUUCUUUCUAUCUUUAGAUUUGUUUCAAUGUUGCUUUUAAUUUGGUUAUGUUUUUAAAAACAUGAGGAACUAAUCUCUUUUUAGUUGGAGGUGAAUUCGAAGCCAUGAUUAUAUAUUUUAUAUGAAUUGAUUACAUCCAGUUAUUGUUUCUAAAGUCUUAAGUGUGAUUUGCUUAUCUGCGUUAUCAAAACUUGUUUAUGUAUGUUAAUUGAGGAUGCAUACUUAGUUUGCUUGCAUAAAUUUGAUGCUAGAGUAUAAGGGAGUUUCACCUAAUCGUUAUGAACUUAUAUUCACAAGUAGUAAAGGUUGCUAGUCACAAUCGUGUUAAGUAAAAUCCUUGGCAGGAGUAUCAUGCUUUUCAUAGUUACGAAUGCGUCGUCAAUACUUAUGAUUUUCAAAGAACUUAAUGACCUUUGAUAUGUUUUCUAUCAUGCUUUUCAUAGUUAGGAGACUUGAUAAGGAUAAUUUGGUUGUGAUGCGUAUCCCGUCCAAUUCAAUGAAAUAAGGAAAAUCUGAUGUUUAAUUUGUGCUGUCACGGUUAACUUGGGGUGUUGUCAUUCAUGGUUUAAAGGAACAAUACUGGAAAUUGGUUUAUGUUUGCAUAUGUCAUGUGUGGAGAAAGACCCUCUAACUAGCUUUUCACUCUUGAAUUCACUUAAAUUCGUUUUUAAAUUGCUUUGUUUCUGCAAGUUUUUUGUUUUAGUUUUAAUUUCGUCAAAACAAUCCCUCCUUUAAUUAAGUGUGUUAGUUUAGUUAGAAACUUGUUUAAAUCUGUCCAAAUUAGUAUUUUGAGUCAAGUAAGUCUUAAAUUCGUCCAAAUAACUCUUCAGAGUCAGUUUUGAGUCUUUUUUAUUGUUUUGUGCUUUUUUGAGUUAGUUUAGUUUGUUUUGAGUCAUAUAAGUCUAGUUAAGAGUCUUAGAGUCUAGUUUUCUGUUUUUAAGAUUAAUUUUGUGUUUUUAAGUCAGUUUUUAGUAGAUUAGCAUCCCUAGUUAAUCACCGGUCUAGAACGAUCCCUACUUACAUCUUUGCUACAAUUGUCAUCAAUAGGGUUUAUUUUUGUGUCAAGUUAAUUUUCACAUCAAUGAUCUUCAUCAUCCUCGGGUAACCUUGUUUUCUAGAUUUUCUUCUAGAGAUGGGGGAUUGUAUCGCUUAGGAUUGGUAUGGUAUUCUCUAACCUUCCUUUCUGUUGGAAACAAUGUACCUAAGGAACAAUCACUGAGAUUAACAACUUUCGUCAAGUGCUCUGCUCACUUUAAGCCUGCUAAAACCUUGCAGGUUAGUCGAGUAACCACCGCUUUACCUGCUGCCCUUAUAAGUCAGACUUUACCAAAACCUCCAUGGAGGUAUGUUCCGAGGCCAGUCAUCAGGCUCUUAUUGGCCGCACAACUCGAUCGGGUUUUGUGGAUGAAGAUGCAGGAGAAUCACAAGAGUUGAAACAUCAUUUGGAAAAGGGUUGAGCAAAAAAAUGUAAAACCUCUAUUCUAGGAUCUCUACCAGUAUGAAACCAUUGAGCUAAAUCUGAUGUAACUUACAUUUUUCGCUCAAAUGAAUAAGAUUUUCUGAUAUUGCUUUAUCUUGUAUUUUUCUUAAGGUUUACGUAUGAUGAAUGUAAAAACUAACCUCUUACACCCUAGGCUUUGCUUAUUCUUCUUCUAUGUAGCAAUCUCUAACAUCCCAUAAAGUCGGAUGAUAUAUUUUUAAGAACUUCACAUUGAUUAAAUGCUUUUGUAAUACUCCAUCCACAUCCGCCAAGUAAUAUCCACCCUUGCCCAAUACCUGAUUAACAAUAAAAGGGCCUUCCCAAGUCAGGCUCUAUUUCCCAAAGCCUCUAACUUGUGCUCCUAAAGGGAGGAUUGCUUUCCAGACUAACUAUCAUUCUUUGAAAUUCUUCAAUUUUACCCUUUUAUUGUAUGCUCGGGCAACAGCUUCCUUUCUUUCUCGAAUCUUGUUUAAAGCUUUAAUUUUGGCUACAUUAAGAUCCUCAAUCUCUUGACACAUAGCUUGAACAUAUUCUUCACUGAGUAGCCCGAACUGAUUAUGAAUUCUGACCGAACUCACAUUAAUCUCCAUAGGAAUCACAGCAUCUUGCCUGAAAGUCAAAGCGUAAGGGGUUGUUCUAGUUGCCGUCCUUUUGGACAUCCUAUAUGCCUACAAAGUUUCCCCCAACCUCUCAUGCCAUUUUUCUGGGUUCUCGACUACCGUUCUUUUGAUGAUACUCACCAGAAUUUUGUUACUGGCCUCCGCUUGCCCGUUUGAUUUAGGGUAAUAAAGACUAGAUUGAACCAUCUUUAUUCUAAAAUUGUCGGCAAACUCUUCUACUUCUUUUGAAAUAAAAGAUGGUCCACGAUCUGUGACAAUUACCUUGGGCACCCCAAAUCUAUGCAAAAUUUUGGUUUCAAUGAACUUCUUAACCGUGGCUGAAGUAAUAUUCUUGAUAGUUGAAGCCUCCACCCAUUUGGUGAAGUAAUCUGUGGCCACGAUUAUGAAUGUAUGUCCUUUACUAGAAGCUAGAUAAAUCUGCCCAACGAAGUCCAUUGCCCAUCCUCUAAAGAGCCAAGGCUUGACCACAGGGUUCAAAGGUAUCGAAGGCACAUGUUGGAGUGGCCCAUGUCUUUAACAUUCUUCACAUCCUUUGGCAUAAUCUUUGCAACCUUUCUCCAUCUUAGGCCAGAAAUAACCAUAUCUCUUAAGCAGCCAUCUCAUCUUGGUUCCAGCUUGAUGAGCUCCACAGAUUCCCUCAUGUACCUCGGCCAUGACUUUCAUAGACUUUUCCUAGCCUAGGCAUUUUAACAUUAACUCGUCUAGAGUCUUCCUUAAUAGAUUUUCUUCCCACAAAACGUACUUAGUCACUUGUUGUCUAUCCUUCAUACUUGUGGGGAAUGAAGGAUCUUUUAAAUACCGAAGGAUAGGUGUCCUCCAGUCUUCGGCUUCCACUUCUUCAAUCAUUACAUCUAGGCUAAAUCCCCUAUCCAAAAUGGAAGGGAGAUUUCUUCUUUGGACUUCUUUCUCUCUCAAACUUCCUUUCUUAGAUCUGUACUCUUGAGGCCAAUUGUGCCAUCUCGUUGGCAAUCACAUUUACUUCUCUAGGUAUAUAGCAAGCUGAUAUUUUUGUGCCCUAAUAGCUCAAUAAUUGGGAGGCUGCCAAGUAAUAAUUGGCCAUGGUGAUGUGUCUGCAUCUAUACUCCCCAUUUAACUAAUUGAUUACCAAUUUUGAGUCACCAAACACUUCAACUUCAGUUGCCCCCAAUUUUAUCAAGAUUUCUAGGCCAAUUAUCAAGGCUUCAUACUCUGCCCGAUUAUUGGUAGUUUUUGAUAAUCCAGGAAGAAUGAAUAACAAUGGUGAGUACCAUUAGGAUCAAUAAUAACGAUCCCAGCUCUAGCAGCAUUUUGGGUACAAGAUCCAUCAAAAUACAGCUUCCAUGGGGUAACCCAAAGGCUGGAUAUCCUUUCUACCUCCUGCUGAAUCCACUAUUAUUUGCCCAAGAUGGCUUUGCUUGGUAAGAUCAAGAUGUUAGCCACCUCCAAGGUUCCUGAGAUGUUGAUUAUUUCUUCCUGGGACUCUUGAUGCUCGGCUAAAAAGUCUGCAAUUGCCUGCCCUUUGACUGCCCUCCGAGGUACAUACUGAAAACUGAAUUCAGACAAUGCCAGAAUCCACUUCCCAAUUCUUCCUGUUAAUAUAGGUUUUGCCAGUAUGUAUUUGAUCACGUCAGUCUUACCAGCAUGUAUUGUCUUAACUUACAAGCAGUAAAGUACAAAGCCAAACAUAAUUUCUCUACUGAGGUAUAACUUGUCUCCUCCUCAGUAAGGAUUCUACUGAGGUAGUAUACGCCUUGUUCCUUUCCGCCUUCGUUGUUUUGGGCCAGUAAACUUCCAAUUGAUCUCUCCGAGACAGAGAUGUAAAGUUUUAAUGGCUUCCCCUCUGAGGUGGCAUGAGCACUGGUGGAGAGGCUAAGUAAGCUUUUAUGCUAUUGAAAGCUUCUUGACGUUGUGGGGCCCUUUCAAAAUCUUCCUUAUCUUUUAGUCUCAACAAAGGAGUUAGCGACUGAAUCUUGCUCGCUAAAUUAGCAAUAAAUCUCCUCAGGAAGUUGACUUUUCCUAGCAGCCUUUGCAGUUGUACCUUAUUGGUGGGUGAAGGUGAUUCCACUAUUGCUCGAGCUUUGUUUUUAUCAACCUCCACUCCUCUCUGAUGAGCGAGGAAUCCCAAAACGUUGCCUGACUUUACUCCAAAAACGCACUUCUUUGGAUUCAUCUUUAACUUGUGGAUCCUUAUUCUUGUUAAGGCUUGUUUGAGAUCUACCAAAUGAUGUUCAUUAGUCUUGGAUUUCACCACAAUAUUGUCAAUAUAUACUUCCAUGCUAUGGCUGAUUAGGUCGUGAAAAAUGGCAUUCAUUGCUUUUUGAUGAGUGGCAUCAGCAUUUUUGAGCCUGAAUGGCAUCACCAGAUAUUCAUAUUCUCCGAUAUAACCCGGACAUCAAAAAGCUGUUUUAUGUAUAUCUUCUUUAGCCAUUUUUAUCUGAUUAUAUCUUGCAUUUCCAUCCAUGAAAGAUAGAACUUUGUGUUUGGCUAUUGCAUCUAUAGAUAAAUCGGCCAUUGGCAUGGGAUAUUCAUCUUUAGGCAUGGCUCCAUUAAUGUUUUUAUAGUCAACACAACACCUAACUGCUUUAGUUAUGGCUUUUAAUAGAGGAACAAUGUUGGCCAACCACUCAACAUAUUUGGUAGGCCUAAUAAAUCCGGCCUUUACCAGUCUUUUGAUCUCUUCUUUAACCUUCUCCUCGAUCUCUUUUGACAUUCUCCGUGGUGCUUGCUUGAUAGGUUUAAACCCCUCUUUAAUAGGCAUCCUGUGUUCUACUAAGGUUGGGUCUAAACUUAACAUCUCAGUGUAAUGCCAAGCAAAACAAUCUUUGAAUUCAUGCAGAAGGUUGACAAUUCCUGCCCGAUCUUUGAUUUUCAACAAACCACUGAUCUGUAUAGGUCUUGGAUCUUCCUCCGUCCCUAGAUCAAUGGUCUCUAAGGGAUCUUGCACCUCUAGGGUAGGUUUUGAAGGGAAAAUAUCAUAUUCAUGUGGGAUUUCUAGUGACUAGCAUGCAUAUACAAUUCAAAAUUUAUAUACGAAAGCAACGGAAGCAUGUUAUCAAAUAAUAUCAAAGCUCUAGUCAUGUAAAUCCCCUUCAAGAUGCAUAGGUUUAUGUAAGAUGCAUCAAAAACAAAUUUAUAUAAGAACAAAGUUUAGGAGUAGUUUUAUACCUCUUGAUCUAGAUCUUAGACCAAGGAUGGACCACCUCUAAGCCCUUUGCUCCGUGAACUCCUUGAGCCUAGUCUCCUUCCUUGCCUCCUCCACUUUGUUUAGUAUGAGUGCUCCUAGGUUCUCUUCAAGUUUCCAAAAUUAAAAACCUCUAAAGAUCCUCACCCACUAGUGUAGUGAGAAGGAUGAAGGAAUAACCAAAGGGGUGAAAAGAUGAUUAGCUAAAAUCCCCCUAUGGUGGCAGCCCUUUGAGUGUUAGAGAGAUAUUUUUCUUUUUCUCUUUUGUUCUUUUAAAACUUCAAAAAACCCUAAUGAAACAUUUGCUAUAAAGUUCCUUUUAUAGCCAAAAGAAACAAGUCAACAUUUGACCUUUCUCUCCCUCAUUUGGCCGGCCCCCUUUGUGUUGUUUGGGCUUUGGGCUUUUAUUUAUUUCAAGUCAUCCAAUGCUUGAAUAAAAGCCCAAUGGGUUUAGGCCCAAUGGGCCCAAUUAAACCCGAACGUUUCUUUAAGCCCAAAACGAUCUUAUAUCGCUUUUAUGAUUUCUUUAGACUUUCUAAUUAAUCACAACACUUAAUUAAUCCAAUUAAUUAUUUCCAUCAUCCAUUAGUUACUCACUACAAGAGUGUAUUGGUGAAGAAUCAUUUUAGGUUCUAAUUAGCAAGGCAGUGAGGUGAUUGGCACCAAUCCAAUUGAUUAUAUUUAAUCCAAUCACUUAGUGAAUUAAAACUUACUUUUAAUUCACCUUCUUCUUUGACGACUACAUUUAAUCAUCUAGAAGAACUCACAAGCCAUGAGUGACAUCUAACCAUAUAUCAUGGCUACCCAAGCUAAUGUAGAAGUUGUUCGGAGAACCUAUUCAGUUGGAAUUACAAUGCAAUUCGAUCAUUCUCUAAAACAAUACUCUCAAUCACAUCACUAGGGUAUGAAUAUAUUAUGUCAAACCCCUAAUGUGAUUAUUCCUUUUUAUAUGAUUCAAUUGAGUCGUAUAGGAACGCUUUCCUUUAUUACGCUCGAUACUUCGGCUGAAGAUUCCAGAAUCAUAUCUUAGAGUAUUCAUCCUCUCUUAACGAGGAUUAGAGAUUCCUUGUUACGCAUUCACUUGCCUUCAUGACUAAGUGGCUUAACCCCGACUAUGCCGGGGACACCCGCGGAUGGAGUGACUUUGACAUAAUCAAAGAUCAAGUACUUAACCACAAGACAACAAUGAUGCCUCAGGUUAAAGGACUACUUACAUUAUUCCAACUAUUAGAGUUACUUGCUUGACAUGUGAGUAGACCUCCAUGCAAGUACUCUCGUUCGAUUGUGUUCAGUGAACUCAUUCCCUUAAUGAGCACCUACAUACUUGUCUUAGUGUCACUACACGAAUGGGAUGAGACUUUCCAUCCUUCUAAUUGAAGCGGACAUAGUAUGUACCGGUCUAUGCAUUGUCAGUAUCCCUCCGACAAUCCUAUGACCAGGAACCUUUCGGACAUGAUGGUUAUGCGAAGAAGGUCUCUGUAGUCUAACUUCAUUAGAUUACUUCUUCAAUCGAUACAUUGUCCAUGGAUUCACCAUUUAGGACAUAUAUCGUUUAUAGAGAUAGUCCUAAAUAGUAUCUUUGCCAUUUGAUGUAUAAGAUUCAUCUAUACAUCCAUUUAUUGUCCUGAAAGGUUUCUUCCAAAGAUUGACUUUCAGGGCAUAUUUCCAACAGGUUUGUCAGGCUCUGCACAUGAAAACUCAACCAACUCUAGACUCUCGGGCAAAUCUUCUAGCCCAUCCAAGUCAUAUAUACACUCAGCCAUUUGGAUGGCUUUUCUUUGGUUGAGCUUUCCCUUUCCUGUUUUUUCUUUCUCCCAUAUAGCAACAGUCUUUUUAUUAAGGACUUGACUGAGAUCACUUGGUCCUUCCUUUUUUGCUCUAACAUUUAAAGGUGUUGGGGAGUCGGGAUGAUAUAGGGCUGAUCCCAUUCUUCCCUUGUAACAUCUAGGCCUUGUUCCAAAAGCUUUUGGGCCGUCACCUUGGUCGAGUGGCUGUUCUUAUCAUCUCCUGAACAUUGAAGAAUCCCAAUACUGGGAUUAUAGAAGUUGGCUUCUGCAAAUUUGGUUGUAAGGAGAAAUGGCCGUGAUUCGGCCUCUACCAUCUCCCAAAAUCCAAUUCAUGCUUCCCCUUCCUCAUGGUAGACAGCCACUUGUUGGUGUAAGGUAGAUGGUCAAGAGAAACUCUGAUGAAUCCAAUCUCUUCAUAAAUGAAAAUGUUGUCCACAACAAAAAAAGCCAACAUUAUUUGUUUUGAUCCUAAGUCCACCUCUAACAGCAAUAUCCCAUGAGAAACUAGAAACUGUAAGAUUGGUGGGAAUAAGAUCCCUUCACUCCUACAUAUCUUCUUCAUCUGCUUAUAUGGCAGCACAUUAAUUACAGCCUCAUCGUCGAUCAAGACCCUCUUGAAGGGUACUCCCUCCAGGUGUGCAGUUACAUAUAUGGGCUUGAGUGAAGGAAAAUUUUUGUCCUAGCUAAGAAUAUGUGAGAACAUUUGAACACAUAUGCAAACUAAUAACACAUUAAAGUAGGCAUGCAUUCAAAACAAUUCUAAAACCCAUGACUUUCAAAGCCUAGUGAAUGGUGAAUCACAAGACUCUUUAACAAUAUUAAAGAGAUGGAAGGAUUUAAAGAUUCAUUACCCUUGAAGCUCAUCCUUGUUUACACAAGGGAUUCACCUAAGUGGGGGGCCUUCAAGUCACCUCCUAGCUCCUUAGAUCUUGCUUGUAUUUUUCUUGCUUUUGAUGCUCCUUUGCUAUGUGAGGAAAGGAUCUCCAAGAACACCAAAGAUUUGGUGUCUCUAAGUCUCCACACCAGGGAUGAGGUGUGAAGAUGAAAUGGAUGACUUAGAGAAGAAAAGAUUGCUAGCUAAAUCUUCCCUAAGUGGCUGGCCUCUUUUAGAGAAAAAGAGAGAAAGUGUUUCUCUUCUUUUCUUCAAGAAAACCCUAAUGAGAAAAAGCUAUAAAGUUGACUUUAUAAUACAUCACAUGUGAGUGGCAAACUUGUAAUUAAUUCAAGUUUGCAUCCACUCACCCUUAUGGCCGGCCUUGUCUUUGUUAUUGAGCUAAUUGCCCAUUUUGUUUUAGUUGUCAUACAACUUAAAUAUAAUGGGCCUUGUGGACCAAAACACUUUUGGGCCCCGAAACCCAAAACCAACUUAAAAGCCCAAUACGAACAUUUCAUAAAAUUAAUUAACUAAUUAAUUAAUCUUGACCAUUCUCAAUUAAACCAUUUAAUCGCUUAUCCAUCUCAUUUAUAUUUCUUCACUUUCAUCCUUACUCGGUGUACGAUCCAUUAGGUUCCAAUUAGCGAGGCAGUGGGCGAUUGUUACUCUUAACAAUCGAUUGUGAAUUAAAACAACAUUUCAAUUCUCCAUUUGUUGAAGAUUAGUGUUUGAUAAUCUUCAAGGCUUCCACAAACCAUGAGUGACACCUAGCAGUAUGUCAUGGCUACCCAAGCUAAGUAGAAGUGGUUAGAGAACCUAUCCAGUUACAAUUACAAUGCAAUACGGUCCUUCUCUAAUACAAUACUCUUAAUCACAUUGUUUGAGUGAUACUUUGUUUCAUGUCUACUAUCCAAUGUGAUACUUCUUUACAUGAUUCAAUUGAAUAUGAUUUGGAACAAACUUCUUAAGUCAUAUUCAUAUGCUUUGGCCAAAGACUCCCGAAUCAUAUCUUAGAGUAUUCUUCCUCCACCAUGGAAGGUUAGAGAUCCCUUGUUGUGCAUUCAUAUGCCUACAUGACUAGAUAUCUUGACCCCAACAAUGCCGUGGACACUCUCGAUGGAAUGCCUUUGACAUGAUCAAAGAUUAAGGACCUAACCAUUAGACAUCUAUGAUGCCUCAGGUCAAAGGACUACUUUGCAUAUUGCAACUAACAAGUUCUUACAUGACAUGUAUGUUCGAACUCUCUUUUGAUCGUAGUUCAGUGUACUCGAUUACCCUUUCGAGCACCUAUGUGUUUGUUUUAGUAUCCAACACUAAAUGACUUGAGACUAGUCAUACUCACACUUGAGUUGACAUAACACAUACUAACCUUAGCGGAUUGUCAAUGCCCAAUUGGCAAUCCUAUGGCUAGGAACGUUUUAGGAAUAAACAUAAGAGAAAGGUCUCGUUAAUCUAACUUACUUAGAUUACUUCUCUCUCAGAUUAAAUACUUUCCUUGGAUUCCCUUAUUGCUUAAACACAUGAUACAAUAAAUAGUGAUUAACAAUAAGCUUUGCCCUUCAUUAAACAUAUAAUAGUUUAAUACAAUAAGUAGGGGUGGUUCAGUAUGGGAUCCCAUACCGAAACCCUUGUCUCGAUUCCCAAACCUAAAUUUUCAGGAAUCCCAAUUUCAAUCCCAAUCUCAAACGAAAUUUUCGGGAAUCCCGAAAUAGUUUCGGGAUUUUGGGAAAAUCGAGAAUCCCAAAAUAGUUUUGGGCUUUUGGACUAAAAUUUGAUAUAGUAUUUGGGCUGCCAAUCUGUUGAAUAUAACCAUAUAGACACAAAUCUUUUCUUUUUUUUCUUUUUGUUUUUUAAGGAGAAAUUUUGUUAAGUAACUAAAACAUGAAAUGACAUGGAGUUCUCAACGAAUAAAACCAUAACACAAAUCUGUGCAGUGUGCAGUGUGCCAAUCUGUGCAGUGUGCAGUGUGCCAAUCUGUGCAAUGUGCCAAUCUGCCCAAUCUGUGCAGUGUGCCAAUCUGCCCAAUCUGUGCAGUGUGCACAAAUCUGUGCACAAUGACAAUAGCACAAAUCUGUGCACAAUAACAAUAGCAUAAAUCUGCCUAUUCAAUUUCUACUACAAAUGCCAAUAAAAAUAAAUUAACAAAUCCAAAAGCAAAAAAAUUAGUUACAAGCCAAGGUUUUAAAAUAAAUAAAGUAACAAACCCAAAAGAAAUACGAGCCAAAGUUUCAAUAAUUGAGUUACAAACCAAAAGCCAACAAGCAAAGCUUAAAGUUUAUGAAGAUUGUUGGCCUCUUCGGCCCCUUCGGCCCCUAGAUCUUGUUGAUGCUUGUGGUUGCUCCCUUCUUGUUGGUACUUGUGCUCUUCCCCUUAAUGUUGAUGGUUGAGCCCUUCGGCCCCUAAAUAAAAUAAAUGGUUCAAAAAUUUGAGCAUUCAACAUACAAAUAUAUGGUUGUGAGAAAAAGAACUCAAAAUAAAUUGUGUAUUUGAACUAGGAAGCAAAUAAAAACCAGCUUGUUUCUAAACUAGGAGAAUAUAAGUAGCUUGUUUCAAAACACUAAAUUAAUUACCUAAUUUGGGGUGAGAGAGAGCAGAUAUGUACGUACCAAAAGCACCUUGUUCAGAUGACCUGCAUUGGAAAAAGAAAAGUAAUAAGAAUUUUGCACGCACAAAUACAUCAAUCCUUACAAUGAUGAUUAAAACAAAAAAAACAUGACAUAAUACAAGGUUACAAGCAAUUCAGCAAAUAUCAGUAAGAAUGUAAACAUAUACAAUUUGAUCAAGCAUAUGAGGAGCUUGUAAUUGAAGUGAUCAAGAAUAUUUAGUCUUUUACUCGACAUUAUAAGUUCAAAAUCAGUGUUUGUACAACUCUUAGCUCUUAAGCAACAGGAUUAAAAUCAUGCAAUUGCUUAAGAUCAGUUCACUCCACAUCGAACUAAUAACCCACGUGGAACCUUGGAACUAAAACACAACAACACCCCUUGAAGGAAGAUUUGUGAAAAACAUGUUCAUUUAAGCAACAUCUAUAAGCAUGCAAUUAACAAUUAAAGGGGGAAUCAUGCUUGCAUGCACUUAAAAACAAAACAUUAACCAUGAAAUUCAAAGCCUAGUAGAUUGGUGAACCAAGACUCAACUCAACUCAAAGUGAGUUGAGAAAUUAUACCUUUGUAGAUUCCUCUUUGCAUAAGCAAAGGCUAAUCACCCAAAGAGAGGGCCUUCAUUCUUUGCAUCUUAGAUCUAUGGAUUUGGAUGGAUGAAAAUGGUUCUCCAAGUUCUCAAAAUAGAGAACCUCUAAGUCUCCACACCAAGGUUAG